rnacentral:lncRNA from 1 species
UCAAACCAAGCAAUUUCUUCACGGAUCGAGGUUUUUGAAGUCAUCUUUGUGUUCCUUGUGAGUCUAGGAACACAUCUAUACCAUUUUUAGAACGUGAAGACCUCAUUUUCCUGAGAACCCGAGAACCCAGUUUUGGGUUACUGUUCAUGCACUCGUGAUUUCGAAGUUUUUAAAAGAUUUUAAGCUACUAGUGAGCUUUA